UUGCUCACUUUGGCAGCACAUAUACUAAAUUUGGGACGAUACAGAGAAGAUUAGCAUGGCCCCUGCAUAGGGAUAAUGCACAAAUUCGUGAGGUAUUCCAUAUUUGU